CGUCGAGGGCGGAGGGGCCGCGGGAACGCAGGAGGCGCUUGUGGUUGUACUCGGUGUUGACGAAGGUGAUGUGGAAGCCCCUGUGGUGGAGAAGCUUGGCGAGGCAGAGCAUGGGCUUGAUGUGGCCCUGGGCUGGGAAGGGGAUGCAGACUGCAUGCGGCUUUUGAGUCAUCUCGUUCGAACUCAUCUCUCUCUCUCUCUCUCUCUCUCUCUCUCUCUCUCUCUCUCUCCUGUAGGUUUGGUCUACUUAUAGGCCGGCGACACGAUGAAAUUCCGGCCAAGUGGAGGACGAGUGGGGAGUAACGUGAUGGGCAUUAAAAUAUUUAAAUAAUAAUUCAUGUUUUGAUCUUAACGAUUUAAAUUUUAAAAUAGGCCGGCGACACAAUGAAAUCCAGCGAAGUGGACUAGGUGAGGGUAACGCGGUGGGCAUUAAAAUAUUUAAAUAAUAAAUCACGUUCUCAUCUUAACGAUUUCAAUUUUUAAAUUAGUUAGUAAUAAUAUUGCAAGAUCUCACAAUUAGAAGGAAGAGUGACGGAUCCAUAUUUAUCGGAAGAUCUUGAAAUUCAAAAUUGGGUUCAUACUUGAUUCUUGGCGCGUGUUGGUUGGUUCCACUAUUAAAGGACAAAAAAUAAUUUCCUUAUUCUUAGUGGUUCGACUAAUCUAUAAAAAUGAGUCGACAAAGGACUUUUACAAUUAGUAGAAAAUCUGUAGUUAAACCCGGAAAAAUUACACAAAUUUUUUUUAUGGAUACAACUCAAUCUCUACUAUUAAGUCUAAAUGUGCAACAGCCGGACUCGGGGUCCCCAAUGACCAGAUCUUGGAAGUUGGUAGCUGGAUUUAGAUUCCCAAUGCUUGGACCUUGGCCCCUUGGAAGCUAGACCCGAGACGCAGGGUUCUAUUCGAAUUUUUUUUUUCGUAUUCCCGUUUCAUAGUUUUCCUAUAAUGUUAAUGGUGAGAAAAGGCCAACCAACCACAAGUAAAUUAAAUCAUUUUCCUAGAAAUUAACGUCGUUAAAAAAUGCCAUCCAACAAAAUUCGUUUUUCUUAAAACUGACCAGGCUGGAAUUUGGCAUGAAGAAAAAUGAAUUUAGAGUAAGGAUAUGUGUGACAAAAGCCAAAUGAUAUAUAAAUAAAUGAAAUAAGUUUGAGAACCAAUCACAUUUGUUUUUUUUUUUUUUAACAGAAACCCUCAUCGCAUUAAGAUGAAAAGCACAUACAACCCGCGGCUAGAGCGUCCGCGCAUAGCAAGAUCAAGAGAGCAGGGGGGGAUUGAGGGCCCAAUUACAAGACAAAGAGGUAUGAUUAUGGGCCUUGCAAGCCCAGUCAGCGACGGAAUUCGCUUCUCUUCGGCAGAACCCUAGCGUGAGAUUGGGAAAUAGGGUUAGGAGGAAAGCAGCUUCAGCAAAUAGAGAGCGAUCCGACCAUGGCGGCUGUGAGUGACUGUUCAAGGUUUCGACCAGAGAGAGGUUGUCAGAUUCAACCACGAUUGUUGCAGUUUGAAGGCCUUGAUGCAGAAGAUGGCGAAGCGAUAAUGAUAAAGCUUGGAUCUCAACCUGAAGAGUAGAGGCGGCCACUACUCCUAAGGAAAACCCAUCGGUAAGCUGGCCUUGAUGGUCCCGACAAAUAUAAGCUAUCGUUCCUUUAUUACUGCCUUGAUGAUAAGAGCCAUCGACGUUAACUUUCAAAACCCCGAGAUCUGGAGGACGCCAUAGAUGGGAUCUGUUUGUGACCAAUCUGUUCUGAUGCAGGUUCGAGGGUGAAGAUAAUCGAUCUGCUUGGGCACCAGUCAGUGCUGUUUCUACCACCUGAUAUGGAUUAGGAUUGGUACCUCGGAAGAAGAAAGCAUUCCGAGCCCGCUAGAUCUGCCACAGAGUAUGAGAGAUUAAGGCCAGCCGAGGUAAUCGAUUCCCUGUCUCGAUCGUAGAGGUGAUCCAUGAAUCCAUACGAUGGAUGUUGAUGGGAUCGAUUGAAACCCGAAUGUGGGGAUGAGUCCAGACCUUUUGAGUCCACGAGCAAAGUAAGAGUAAGUGCUCUAAAGUUUCUGGAGUCUUUUUUUUACAUAAGGUACAGCAAGGACUGUCUAAUAUGUGUCUUCGAUACAGGUUCUCUCUCGUCGCCAAGGCAUUAUUGCAGAUGGACCAGAGGAAGGCACGGAUUUUGGGAGCAGCAGGCAUUUUCCAGAUAGAACGCCAUAACCAGGUAGGAAUUUGGUGUGAAGAUGAUGCACUUAAGGUUGAGAUAUCUGAUUGUGAGUGAGUAAGUGCAUGAUAUGCCGACUUGACUGUAAAUGUGCCUUGCUUGGUUGCUGUCCAGAUAAGUGCAUCUGUGGUGAAAUUUGGUCUAAGUUGGAUGUUUGUGAUCUGUUGAAUGAUUGGCAUAUCGAAAAACCUGGAUAAUAAGUCAACUCUCCAUGAACUGGUAGUGGGGUCAAUAAGAUCAGCUACUAGUGUAGGUUCUUCAAGGGCUUUAGGUCCAGCUAGAAUACCCAUAGGAAGCCAUAUGUCUUCUCUUAUCUUGAUGCUUUUUCCAUCUCCCACAGACCAACUAACGUGUGGAACAAUUGAGUUUCUUCUGCAAAGUAGGCUCUACCAGCCCCAUGAUGGGCGAGAGCCUUUGUUAGCUUGUAAAAAUGUAGAAGAAUGGAAAUAAAGGCCCUUAAAAAGCUUACUCCACAAAGAUAAUGGCUGACUCAUUAGGCGCCAUGCUUGCUUACCAAGCAUGGCGUGAUUAAAACUCACUAAAUUCCUGAAUCCCAAUCCACCAUGUUCUUUUCGGUUCUGUAGAUGUUUCCAGCUCUGCCAAUGUACACCAGAUCUGCUUGUAUUGUUGCUCCACCAGAAUUUGGCCAUUCUUUUUUCAAUAACUUUACAUAAAGAGAUAGGGAUUUUAAACACUAGCAUUGCAUACUGAGGGAUAGAUUGAAUAACUGCCUUUAAUAGAACAUCUCUCCCUCCCUUCGAGAUUAGUUUUUCCUUCCAACCUUCUAGUUUCGAUUGAACUCUACUCAGCAGCCAAGAAAACAUAUCUUUUUUUGAUCUUCCCCAGUCAGUAGGUAUCCUGAGAUACUUCCCACAACGCUAUAAAACUGGUACCCGUAAUUCAGCAGCUAAAUUUUCCUGAAGUUCAAUAGGGCAAGAGGGACUAAAGAAAACUCCAGAUUUGUUAUGAUUGAUUUUGUGUCCUGAUGCCAAGCAAUAUUGGUUUAAAAUGUUAGACAGAUUCUGACACUCCAAUAAGGUACCAUUCAGAAAAAAUACAGCAUCGUCGGCGAAAAACAGAUGCGAUAGAGUAGGGCACCUUUGGUUCAGCUUGAUACCUUUGAUAGAGCCCAUAUGCAUAGCAUUCCUCAUUAGAAGGGAUAAGAGAUUUGCAAUGAUAAUAAACAAGUAGGGGGAUAAGGGAUCUCCCUGCCGCAACCCACGAGUUGGUUGGAAACUCGGUAAAAACUCCCCAUUCAUCUUAAUAGAGAAAGAUGGCGUUGAGACACACUGCAUGAUUAGAUGGACCCAAUGAGAAUGAAAUCCCAAGCGAAGUAAAUAGUCUCGGAGAAAGUCCCACUCAACACAGUCAUAAGCUUUCUGCAUGUCUACCUUGAGAAUGGCUUUAAAAUGACGUUUUCGUUUCCUUGUUUUGAGCUGAUGAAUGAUUUCCUGUACAACUAGAACAUUAUCCUGAAUUUGUCUACCAGCAACAAAGGCGCUCUGCUCCUUAGUGAUCAGAAUAGGCAGCAAGGGUUUCAAUCGAUUAGCAAGCACUUUAGCGAAAAUUUUAUAGCCAUAGUUGCAUAAGCUAAUAGGGCGAUACUGAUCCAAGCUUUCCGGGUUAGGAGUUUUGGGGAUUAGGGUGAUAGUAGUGCUGUUUAGAGAUGGGGGUAAUAUGCCAUGCUGAAAGAAUUGCUGUACUGCUCUGUGAAUGUCCACUUUAAUAAUUUCCCAAUGCGAUCGAUAGAACAAACCGUUCAAACCGUCGGUUCCUGGUGCCUUUGACGCACCUAGUUGGAAAGUAGCAACGCGAACUUCUUCGAGAGUGGGUUGAGCAAGGAGGGCUGCGUUCAUUUCUGCACCCACUAGCUGUGGACAUUGCUUUAAUAUCUGUGCAUAAGGUCUAGGCCCUGAAGUAGAGUAAAGCUGAGAGUAGUAGGUGAAAGUCGUUUGUUUGAUUUGUUCCUGAUCCCUAACCCAUUGCUGAUUUUCAUCUUUCAAGAUAGUAAUCUGAUUGCGUUGUCGUCUUUGAAGUGUGGUAGUAUGGAAGAAUUUAGUGUUGCGGUCUCCCCACUAUAGCCAGUUUAUUCUUGAUCGCAUUGCCCAAUAUUGUUCUUCCCUCUGCCAUGCUUGAUGAAGUUCUGUUUUAAUCCGCUGUUGCUGAGAUAGGUUUAGAGAAGUAGGUUGCUGGUUCGAUAAAUUUUUUAACUGUUGAUCUAAUUCCAUUGCCUGUUGCCUGGUAUGUGAGAAAACCUGGCGACUCCAGCGCGAUAAAGCUAUGGCAACUGCACGAAGCUUGACCGAGAGAGGAGAGUUCCUUCGCGAGACUGAGUUCCAGGAGGACUCGAUCACGGAUUGACAGCCAGGAUCGUGGUUCCAGAAAGCUUCAAAGGUAAAGAAUCUCUUUCGUCGAGCCAAGCAGGGAUUUGUAUGAAUAACCAGAGGGCUGUGAUCUGAACCAACUACAGGUAGGGCUAUCACUUGAGCUUUGGGGUAAGAGAUACGCCAUUCAGCAGUGCAGACAGCUCGAUCCAAACGCUCCUUCACCAAAGCUGCAGCAUCUCUGUUGUUGGACCAUGUAUAGGCGCAACCAUGAGAGGGCAGAUCCAUCAAACUGCAAUCAUUGAGAACUUCUCUGAAAGAGGAUAGGCGGUAAGAGUCCGCUGGUCUAGAGCCUAUUUUCUCCCAUCGGUGUAAAAUUUCAUUAAAGUCGUCGAAGCAUAUCCAAGGUAAGACAUUGAGGUUACUAAUAUGACGCAAGGUCUGCCAAAGAUACUGAUGGUCAUGAUAAACUGUAGGAGCAUGAAUACAAGAAAUCCGCAUGGAUCUUGCCUCUGAGAUAGCAAGACAGGUAAAAUCCAAAUAAUGCGGAGAGGAGGAGAAGUCUGACAGAGAGAGCCCUGCAUUCCAAAAAAGAGCUAAGCCACCGGCCGAACCAACAGGGGUGACUAGUCUGUGAUGCAAAAAACCAGAAGACCGCUUCAACCGGAGGAGGACUGCAUCCACGUUCUUCGUCUCCAUCAAAAAUAACAGGUCAGGCUUUUCCUUAGCCAAGAGGGCUUUUAAGGAUAGGACUGUCAAGGGAUUGCCCAAACCCUGACAGUUCCAACCUAUAAGUUUCAUCUCUGAUUUGGUGACUGUUUAGGGCCAGCCACCGUCGCCCGUAGAGCUGUUUCAGACGCCUCCAUAAUCGGUGCAUCCAACAAUAGAGAAUCAUCAUAGACCCCCGAAUACCCUCCUGGUAAGUCAUAGGGAUUAUAGCGCCGGGGUUUCUUUGAAGGACUUAUCUUACUUGCCGGUCGUAUACUGAGGCCUUUUUUUGCCUGGUUAGGUGAUGUUGGCCAUUGCACUCCUUUCAGCUUCUCUGUAGCUGGGAUUAAUGCUGUGGUUAAGGUGUGUGGCUCUGAGGGAGGGAUGGUAGAUAUAUCAUUUCUUGUCUGUGUAGAGAUGGGAGCAAUAAUCUGUGGCUGAGAGGUUGUUACAGGAAUUGGUGGUAGAAGAAGAGGAAGAGUGCGGAUCUCAGUUGGAGGAGUUUCGGGUACGGUUUCUUCUCUGUCCUCCUCCAAAUUAGAUUGGCCAUAAUAACACUGCCAGUAAGGGCUAUACUUUUGAACAUCGGCUUUUAACUAGGGACCAUAAGGAGUAGAGUCAGGUUCGGUGAUCAUUUUCUCCUCAAAAGGGAUAGAGGGGCAAGAAUCCGUAUAAUGGCCCAGUCGUCCGCAAGAAUAGUAGUAAUGAGGUAAUCUUUCGUACCGAAAAUCCAGCCACAAAGUUCGAUUUGUAAGUUUAAUGAGUCGACCUACUUUUAAUGGUUCAGAUAAAUCCAACUCAACGCGAGCUCGACAAGCUUUCAGGGUGGAACCAGUGGUGAACUCCGAUUUUACUUGCUGAACAGAGCCUACCGUGCUAACAGCCUUACGGAUCAUUUCAUCAGUACAACAUUCCAAAGGUAACCCAAUCACCUGGACCCAAAAUACACAGGUAGUAAAGUCAUAGCAGUGUAGAGGGGUAUUGGCUACCCAUGGUUUAAAAUUGAUGAGAUGUCCUGAAAAUUGCCAAGGACCGGUGUCGAGAAUUCUCUGUUUGUCAGCCUGGGAUUUAAAUUUGGCUAAAUAAAUUCCAGCUUCUCUCUGAAUGAUUUCAGCUUGGUCCAACCGCCAUGCACACUUCAAGACUGACUGAAAAGCUUGGAAAUUAAAGGAAGGGUUGGAGUGGACUUUACCAAUUAACAGUAGCUUGCAUUCCUCAACUGCACCAGGUGAGGGUUCAACUCGCAAUUCUUCGAUUGCUUUUUCUGUAGAUAAUUGGCCCAGUUUUUGACAACUUGCUGCGAUCCGAGAUGCAUCAGGGUCAUCGUCAAUAGCCAUUGAUGAAAGAAAUGGUCGACUUAACGGAAGAAGGUCGGAAUCAUCAGAAUUAUCGACAUGCAUAUGGAGAAAGAAGGAAACUAAAGGGAAAGCAGAAAGCCUCUGUUGGGGGAAAAGAAGAUAAUGUGAGGAGGGGUUACCGAUCUAGAUCAGUGAAGAGGGGAGGAGGACGAAAUUUCGAAGGAUUGCCAUUUGCAUGUCCAGAAAAGCGGUCGAAGAAUUCAGAGGGGAAGGGAGCAACGAAGAAACUCUACCCAGACGAUAGAGAGUAACUCGACAAGACGAGAAGAAGCGUUUGUCUGAUGGCACUUUAAAUAGCACAUUUAUCACAUCAGAGCUGGCGAAGAAUCCCAUUUGUUUACAUAGACUAAAUUUAUGCCACUGUCAUGACAAUUUCCGUGUUUUUGCAUAUCGAAUUUUACUAGUCAUUGUUGAGAGCAGCAUAUGCAUGUACGCUUGGCGCAAUCAAAGUUUUCAGACAUACACAACAUGAGCAAUGUAAACUGAAGGUGACCAUGCACUUAAGAGGAUUCAAAAUUUAUAGAAAGAUUAUUACGUGAUUUAACGAAUUGAAUCCAUCUUAAUCAUUAUUUGUGUGGAAAAUUAAGAUAAUAACAGUUUGUAUAAUUUACGGAUCACCCAGGAACUUGUCGAAAUUUAUUCAAUUUAUUAUUAUUAUGAUUAUUAUUAUUAUUAUUAUUAUUAUUAUUAUUAUUAUUAUUAUUAUUAUUAUUAUUAUUAUUAUUAUUAUUAUUAUUAUUAUUAUUAUUAUUAUAGUGUCGGUAAACGUUUUCCUCCCAUGUUCCAAAAUUCGGUCCACGGAGAAAAGCAGUGCGAAGCCAAUUUGAGCAAAAGGGGACCGCAGAAUGUACGCUUCACUUUUUUAUUCAGGAGUUCCCACUUUUUUUAAGGGUAAAAGUAGAGCAAAAGUACUCUUGACUUUUCUUCCAGUUUAAACAAUUGUCGUGGAUCUCGAAUUCUCUUUUGGAUUUGAUUAUUUGACAUCGCUCCUCAAGUCAAGGAUCUAACAUGAAUCUGUCUCGUUUAUUGGAAAAGUACCAAGAGAGUCCUAAUCUUAUUAUAUUAAUAAUAAUUUAAUUCUAAAUAUUUUAAUAUUUUUAUCAAUUAAGUCAAUCUAAUCAAUUUAAAUUGAAAAUUGCUGAUAUUGAUGUUGGUCAACUUACGUGAUAAAUUACUGGGAUUCGCCCCAGUGGCCACCCUUCCAACAUGGAAGGAGGAGAUGAGGGGUUCAAAUUCCCACCUUCUCGGGGGGAUGGGGUGGGGACACGUAAGUUUCAGGAGUGGGUUUCAACUCCCACACUCUGCAAGAGGCAGGGCAAAAGUUUGAGAGUGAGUGUAGAGUAGGAAUAGUGUAAGACUGACCAAAAAAAAAACUUACGUGAUACGAUUGAGCUAAUGAGAAAAAAAAUUUAUUAUAAUUUUUCAUUUCUUUUUAUUCUACAACUAUUGUCGAUGGUCGACACGGUGUCAUGCUCGAAAAUGACUAGCCUUGCCUAAGCAAGUAUUACCCUCGUUGCCAUAGGUAAGGGUUAGCCUUGUUGGAGCAAGUGUUGGUGAGGUCUCUUUCGCCAGAUCUAACAAGCUCGCUUGAGCUAGGGUGUCAUUUAGGCGAGUCCUGGGAGGGCCACCCCUGCUCAAGCAUAUUAGCAGCCAAGCCUAUUGUCAGGUCAAUCAAUUCUCUCUUCAGUAGAUCAAACCGGUUCACUAUUCUGCCGGAUCGGUUUCUUCAAUUAUUUUCUGAUCGGUUCUUGGAGAUUUUGGACCGGUUCGGUGGUAUUUUGGCGUGUCGAGUCUGUUUCUGACCUUAGUUCGUCCAUAUCUAUCCUCAAUGGUACCGAUAACACGGAGUUCAAUGAAGUAAGAGAACAAUCCAUUGUAAUGUUCAGUUUGAAGAAUGGGUCUAAGAGUAUUUUACCAAUUUUUGGAUCUCUUGAGGGUGUCGGUCAUGUGUACUUGUGGGGUUUGGGCCAACACCAUUAAAGUAAUGCUUGGUCAUCACGAUGGUUAUUCUCCUUUCGAUUGCAAAGCGACAAGAAAGCUAUCUUUUAAAUCAAAGAAAUUGCAGUCACAUGCGCUACUUAAUUCAUUUGGUUAUCCCACACCAAAUACGAUGUCCUCUUUAUGUGACACGCAAGCAUAUUGUCUUUAGUUUUCUUCCUAUAAAAAAUUGGCUUUCUCUAUGAUCCUAGUAUACCUAUUGAAGAUUGCUUCCACUAUCAUUUGAAGGCAUCGUCCUUUCAUCGAAGGAGAAAAUAUUAAGUGGUUAAAGACUGUCACAUCAUCUGCUGGUCAUCUAUUGACCUUGUGUGUUUUCACUUUGUAUCACUCAUAAUUUGACACAUGCUCAUGUUGCUACUUUAGUAGUUGACAUAGAAAUAAAUAAAAAUUUUAACUUUUUCCCCCUCUUUCCUUCUCCUCUAUCCAACCACCUCUUGAAGGAUGAGCGAUGUUGAAGACAUAAGCUUUUAUGCUUUGUUGGUGUUGCCUAUGAAGCACGAACAUGUUGCUGGAGGUUUCAUGUCGUGUUUGACAUAUGUUGAUGUGUUGGACACGCUCGCACACGCAGUUAACACAUGUCGAAUUUUCCGACACAUGGUCAACUCUUCUCAACACAUUUCGACACGCAUGUCCGAGAGAGAGAAUCGUUGAAGAAGACCAUGGAUGGUGGAGGUGAGGGCGAGGGAGUGGAGGCAAGACUACAACGACGAGGGAGGGCCAGAGGAAGAGCAGAUACAGAGGCGACCUAGAGGACUGCAACUACGAUGCUGCAAUGGAGGGCCGGCGGCAAGGUUGCAGCUAUGAAGGAAGAAGGGCCAGAGGGCUAAAGGCGAGGCAACGAGCGAUCAUGAUGAGACAACCAAGAGAGAGCAAAGAUCAAGAGGAAGAGGGCCGUGCGAGGAGGAGGAUGAGAAGGAGGCAGCGACUAGGGUUUGUGAGUGAGGAAACUCAAAAAAUUAAAAAUGGGAUUUUAAUGGGAUUUUGACGUGAUUUUUUCUAUCUAGAGGGAGGGAGGGGGGGGGGGGNNNNNNNNNNNNNNNNNNNNNNNNNNNNNNNNNNNNNNNNNNNNNNNNNNNNNNNNNNNNNNNNNNNNNNNNNNNNNNNNNNNNNNNNNNNNNNNNNNNNNNNNNNNNNNNNNNNNNNNNNNNNNNNNNNNNNNNNNNNNNNNNNNNNNNNNNNNNNNNNNNNNNNNNNNNNNNNNNNNNNNNNNNNNNNNNNNNNNNNNNNNNNNNNNNNNNNNNNNNNNNNNNNNNNNNNNNNNNNNNNNNNNNNNNNNNNNNNNNNNNNNNNNNNNNNNNNNNNNNNNNNNNNNNNNNNNNNNNNNNNNNNNNNNNNNNNNNNNNNNNNNNNNNNNNNNNNNNNNNNNNNNNNNNNNNNNNNNNNNNNNNNNNNNNNNNNNNNNNNNNNNNNNNNNNNNNNNNNNNNNNNNNNNNNNNNNNNNNNNNNNNNNNNNNNNNNNNNNNNNNNNNNNNNNNNNNNNNNNNNNNNNNNNNNNNNNNNNNNNNNNNNNNNNNNNNNNNNNNNNNNNNNNNNNNNNNNNNNNNNNNNNNNNNNNNNNNNNNNNNNNNNNNNNNNNNNNNNNNNNNNNNNNNNNNNNNNNNNNNNNNNNNNNNNNNNNNNNNNNNNNNNNNNNNNNNNNNNNNNNNNNNNNNNNNNNNNNNNNNNNNNNNNNNNNNNNNNNNNNNNNNNNNNNNNNNNNNNNNNNNNNNNNNNNNNNNNNNNNNNNNNNNNNNNNNNNNNNNNNNNNNNNNNNNNNNNNNNNNNNNNNNNNNNNNNNNNNNNNNNNNNNNNNNNNNNNNNNNNGGUAUGCAGCUUCUGCUCUCAAGUGAUUGCUCGAUGGUAGGCAGGAUGCUGGUAGAUCGUUUGCCGUGACAGCAAACCAGAGCGAAAAUUACCGGAUGGUAGGAAAUUCAAAAUUGACCAGUUCAGUGUCAUAUGAUGUUAAUAGUGAUCUCGACAGCACGAAGUUAACAUGACAAGUCAUUUCAGUCCAGACGUUAUAUGGAGCCAGAUCGUAAGAGUAACAGUCUCGCUUGCCGAGAGGGGGUGAAGGUGAACCCUGGGGAACUUUUUUUUUUUUUUUUGGUAAAGACCCUGGGGAACUUUAUUAUUAUCGGAAAAAUAAAUAAGGGAGGCUAUAAAACGAUUUCGAAAAAUAAGUACCGAAUGUUGAAUAAUGAUAAAUUUUGAUCAUUGUAGAAAAUCAUAGAUUUAUUUAAAUAAGUUAAUUAUAAUUUCUUGUUAGUAAUUAGUUUCAUCAAUAAUUUUUGUUAGAGUUAAAAAUAUAUCCCCAAACAUAACUACACAUUAAUAAUUAAUAUCUUUCGAAUUUCUUAUAAAUAGAUUUAUUAAUAUUAUUAGUGUAAAUUCAUUGUAGGCUCUUUUUUAUUAUUUGUUUGAUUGUGAAUUUGAAUCAAAUUAAUUUAAAAUAAAAAUAUUCAUUUUUAAGAAAUGACGUGUUGGCUUGUUGUGUAAUGUCAUGUCUCGUGUUGAUGCUACCUAGAGUGUUGCAGAACCUUCCGUCACCGUUGCCACUAGUGGAGUCGUCGAGGCCGUGUCCAAGCCAAGCCACCCUGUGAGCCAUGGAAAGUUGCGGCCAUGGAUGAUGGAGGAGGAAGACUAAAAACUUAAAGACUGGAAGCCUAUGGCCAUGUCUUCUAAGGCCCCCAAAACCUUUAGCAGACGACAAGUCAAGAGACCCACUUUGCUCAAGGCCCAAAAAUAGGGGCAAAGAACCCAUCUAAGCCAUGGAUGAUGGAGGACCCUUUCCGACGUCGUUGGCUGUCGGCCUAAGCUACCUCUGGCUCUUUUUUUUUUUUGGUAAUUCUCCAAUCACCUCCAAAUUUGGAAUCGCGUUAGAGUAUUGUGUUGCUCGCCCAUGGCCAUCGUCGCUUUGUCGACGUCACUCUUUAGAUCUCAUGAUCUGGUCUUCCAUGGCGGAAAGCAUUUAGGUGUCACGCCUCUCGUCCAUAUUCAUCAUCGGCAUCAAGCAAUGCCGGAAGGGGCAGCUUGGCUUAGAUGCACAGGAGCGGUUCUGGCAACUCUGUUGGUUGCCACCGCAAGGGGGAGGUGUUGCAACUCGAUCAAAGUUCUUCCAUGGUUUAGGCUGAAUAGAUCUCUUUGGCAAUUUUUAAAUUUUUAUUUAAUUUGAUGUCAGUGGACAUCUAUGAAAUAAUGAGUGGCUGGGACUAAAACAUGUAUGCCAGAUCAGCAGAUGACAUGGUAAUCUCUAACCAUUGAAUAUUUCUCCCAUCAAGCAAAUAAUUAAGGAGCAAAAAUUUAUGUUAAGGAUUUAAUUAAAAAAAGUAAUAUAAAAUGGAACAAUUUAUGACAUACUGAGUACUUUUAUUAAUUUAGUUAUAAACUUUUCAAUUAUGCCAAUUUAAUCUUAAUAUUUUGAUGAUUUACUAAUUAGUUCUAAAUCUUUUGACGAUUUAAUAAUUUUGUUAUUCUAACUAAUUUUGGUUGAGAGUCGUGGACAUUGCAGUCUAGUCAACAUUGAUGGUCUUAUGUUGUAUGACAGUGCUUACAUAGACAAUUUUUGCAAUUUUUUUUUAAUUUUUUUUAAUUUUUUCUCCUUUUUUUCCCUUUCCUUUUGGUUUCAUUUUCCCUUUUUCCCUUUGACGACCAUCGCUGGACCUCAUUCAUGCUCAGCGGAGGUCGUCGGCUACUAGCGAGGGCCACCCUUGUUGGGUCAAAUAAGGGCCCCCCUCCUUGGCCUUGGGUGAGGGUGGCUAUUGCCUAAGGUUGGCGACCUUUGCUGGCAAUCGAUGAGGCCUGACAUGACAAUGGUUGAUGGAGAGAAAAGGCCAAAAAAGAAUAGAAAGAAAAAAAGAUAUAGAAAAACAACAGAAAAGCAAAAGAAAAAAUCUAAACAAUUAAAAAAUUAUUGCAAAAAUUGUCAAUUUCAACAAUAAUCGUGCCACAUAGAAAGGCUAGUUUUGACUAGACCACAACGUUGGUGAUAUUUGGCCACAAUUUGUUGGAAGAACUUAAUUGGCAAAUUUGUAAAAGGUUGACUAAAUUGACAAAGUUGGAAAAUGUUUAAGAAUAAUUUGGUAAAUUUGUCAAAAGAUUUAUGAUUAGAUUGGCAAAAUUAAAAGUUAAAAAAAAAAAAAAUUGUCAGUCCUACUCUAUUCCUACGCUACACUCACUCUCAGACUUUUGCCUUGCCUUUUGUAGAGUGUAGGAGUUGAAACCCACUUCUGAAACUUACACGUCCCCACCCCAUCCCCCUGAGAAGGUGGGGAUUUGAACCCCUCACCUCCCCCUUUCAUGUUAGAAGGGUGGCCAUUCGGGCGAAUCCCAGUGGUUAAAAAAAAAGUUUUAAGAUUGAAUUGGUAUAAAUGUAAUAGAUUUAGAAUUCUUUUGAUAAUUUUUUAUAUUGAAAUAAAUGUAAUAGAUUUAGAUUGGCUGAAGCUCUCUUUGCCCUCUCGGUCUGGAGCGACGCGAAGUUGACCAUGAAGUCGUGUGGGUCAGUAGUUCGGAUGAAGCUUGGCAAGUCUCGCAAGCUGAUGCUCCCCAUCCCCGGUAUCUAGUCAAUGAUGGUGUCUAAGUACCCGUUUGUCAAGUAGCUUGCAUCUGCAAAUCGACAGUCGAUCAAUUAAACAAUAUCACGCAAAAGAGAGGAAAAGAAAUCAUUAGCUGUAAAUCUGCUAAGUGAGAUUAACGAUUGUUCAUUAAUGCAUAUACCUGUGGAGAAAGACCCUUGUCGAUAAGACUGCGAUACUGCACGUAGCCCAUGAAGCCGCAUGCGCUCGUCGUCCAGAACAAGACCAGUGGCACGCCGGCUGCCUCCGCAGCGUCGAGCGUGAAGCUCAUCACGCCGUCCGACACCACGCAGCUCACCAGCGGGGAGCCCGACGUGGCGCUCUCCUCGUCGAGCGUCUGGAGGAGGUCCCGGAAGUAGGGCAGGCAGAGGUCCCGCGAGGACCGGCAGAGGGUGGGGACGUCCUGGGUGGCGUCGGCGUUAGAGGGGGGGAGGCCGUCUGGGAUGGUGCGGAACCGGAAGGACGGGAGGCCGUCGAGGGCGGAGGGGCCGCGGGAACGCAGGAGGCGCUUAUGGUUGUACUCGGUGUUGACGAAGGUGAUGUGGAAGCCCCUGUGGUGGAGAAGCUUGGCGAGGCAGAGCAUGGGCUUGAUGUGGCCCUGGGCUGGGAAGGGGAUGCACACUACAUGCGGCUUUUGAGUCAUCUCGUUCGAACUCAUCUCUCUCUCUCUCUCUCUCUCUCUCUCUCUCUCUCUCCUGUAUGUGUAGGGGCACUUGAGGUUUGGUCUACUUAUAGGCCGGCGACACGAUGAAAUCCGGUCAAGUGGGGGACCGGGGGAGGGAGUAACAUGAUGGGCAUUAAAAUAUUUAAAUAAUAAAUCACGUUUUCAUCUUAACGAUUUAAAUUUUAAAAUAGGCCGGCGAUACGGUGAAAUCCAGCAAAGUGGGCUAGGUGGGGGUAACGUGAUGGGCAUUAAAAUAUUUAAAUAAUAAAUCACGUUUUCAUUUUAAUGAUUUUAAUUUUUAAAAUAGUUAGUAAUAAUAUUACAAGAUCUCACAAUUAGAAAGAGGAGUGUGACGAAUCUAUUUAUCGGAAGAUCUUGAAAUUCAAAAUGGGAUCCAUACUUGAUUCUUGGCGUGUGUUGGUUGGUUCCACUAUUAAAGGACAACAAAUAAUUUCCUUAUUCUUAGUGGUUCGACUAAUCUAGAAAAAUGAGUCGACAAAGGACUUUUACAAUCAUUAGAAAAUCUGUAGUUAAACCCGGAAAAAUUACACAAUUUUUUUUUUUUUUAUGGAUACAACUCGAUCUCUACUAUUAAAUCUACGUGUGCGACAGUCGGACUCGGGGUCCCCAAUGACCUGAUCUUGGAAGUUGGCAGCUGGAUUUAGAUUCCCGGUGCUUGGACCAUGGCCCCUUGGUAGCCAGACCUAUGACCUUGCGCCUGAACUCAAGUCCUAGGGUUGUAUCUGAGAUUUUUCUUUUUCAUGUAUGUUUCAUAGUUUUCCUAUAAUAACAAUGGAAAAAAAACCAAACACAAAUGAGUCAAAUAAUUUUUCCUGAAAAUAACUUCAACAAAAAAUACUUUUCAUCAAAGUUCAUUUUCUUUGAAAUAAGAGAGGCCAGUGAUUUGGCUAGACGAAAAAUAAAUUUAUAGCAAGAAUAUGUGUGAUAAACACUAAAUAAUGUUCAAAUAAGUAAAAUAUGUUUGAGAAUCGAUUCCAGUCAUUUACAUUGUUUUCUAUGCUAAAUUUACACCACUAUCAUUACCAUUCCCGUGUCCUGCAUAUCGAACUCUACGAGUCAUUUUUGAAAGUAGCAUAUGUGCAUACACAAUAGAAUGUGCGGCACGAGCAAUAUAAAACCUAAGGUCAACCAUACACUUAAAAGGAUUUAAAAUUUAGGGAAAAAAGUGUUCCGUGAUUUGUCCAUAAUUUACGGAUCAUGCAAUAAAAUUUACGCUUAUGCAUCUACUGGAUCUGUCAAAACAGACAGUGAUUUUUUAAAGACUGUUGCUGAACGUUUUCCUCUAAUGUUUAAAAAUUUUGGCCACAGAGAGGAAAAAAAGACAAAUGCAGCGCGAAGUCAAAUUUGACAAAUGCAGCGCAAAGCCAAAUUUGAGCAAGGCGUCCACAAAAUGCUCGCUGCAAAGUAGUGCAAAAGUCUACCCGACACCACUGCAGUCGUGGAUCUCAAUUUCUCUUUUGGAUCCGAGGAUUGGAGAUGGCUCCUCGACUGUCAGAAACCCUAGUUCAAAAACUCAUGCGGAAUCAAGGGUCUGUUUGACAAAACUAAACUAUCUAAGAUUCCAUUGCACCAUGUCGAGAUUUGAAUUCCGCUAUCAGUAAUCCCUUUUUGAUUGGCAACUUUCUAGACUUGUGGUAACCUCCCCUCCUCUUAACUUUCUUAUUAUAAUUUAGUUACUGAAAAUUUGAUUUGAUAACAUAAAGAAUACCGAGCAUUGAUUCUAUUUGAUAAUAUAGUUUUUUUUCUUACCAAAUCUGAAUGUAUGAAGAUUAUUUGAAGGUUUAAUCCUUUCUUAGUAAUACAAUAGGCAAGACAAGUUUUUUUUUUUUUUUUCUUUUUGGUAGAAGUAGUUUAUAUGGGAUGAAUUAAGUAGCCAUUUUCUUUUAUUCCUAUCACGUAAGCUAGCAAUACUUGACUGAAUAUUUUAAGUCUAAACAAAUUAUGCUUAUAAACCGUGCUUUUUUUUUUCUUUUUCUUUUUUGUAAUAAUCCGAGAAACCAAAUGCACUUGUAUAAAGAUAAAGCUAUCCGAAUGCUCGCCAAACACUUUGAAUGGCCCAUGAACCGGUUCAAUAUAAGCAUUUAGCCUAUAUGAUGAGUGUUGUAACUCAAAAGGAUUUACAUGUAAUUAUUGGGGUUUUCCCUUUGGCUUCUGUGCUACAAAUUCUCAUAAUAGUUAAUGAGCCAUUUUGAAUUUACUGGUCUAGUUAGGUAAAGGUAUAUGCAAAUUAAACAAUUAAUUUUAAUUGACAAGUUUCGAAUCCUAGGUGAGCCAAAACAAACUUUCACAAGAAGAAUGCAAAUGACUAACUAGAUUGAAAUUUGAUCGUUUCGAUCGUUUUCAAAUUCUAGGUCAGUCAAAAUAAACUUCUCUUCUCUCUCUCUCUUCUCUGUGCUUUGAUCGUUCACUUGUUCCUCCUUUUGGGGUAUGAAAGAAGAGACGGGGGAAAUGGUUAUGGUGCUGGAGGAAGGCAAGUGAGGUUUGGUCUAUUUAUGGGCGGGCGAGACGAGAUCCAAUGAACUUUGGGCUUCAAUAUUUUCUUAUUAGGGUAAAAAUGGCAACCCCAGAUUUAUUGGAAGAUCUUGAAAUCCGAAACGACUUUGAUAUCCACUGUUGCAAGACUGUUAUCAUUGAUUGGACCUGAGUGCUUGACAGUCGGACCCGAGGUCCCCGAUGGCCAGACCUUGUAAGCUGGGCAGCUCGAUUUAGAUCCCCGAUGCUUGGACCUUGGCCCCUUGGUAGCUAGACUCGUGACCUUGCGUCUGAACUCGAGUCUUAGGGUUCUAUUCGAAAACUUUUUUAUUUUUCGUAUUCCCGUUUCAUAGUUUUCCUAUAAUGAUAAUGAUGAGAAAAGGCCAACCAACCACAAGUAAAUUAAAUCAUUUUCCUAGAAAUAACGUAGUUAAAAAGUGUCAUCCAACAAAAUUCAUUUUUCUUAAAACUAACGAGGCUGGUAAUUUGGCAAGAAGAAAAAUAUAUUUAUAGUAAGGGUAUGUGUGACAAAUGUCAAAUGAUAUAUAAAUAAACAAAAUAAGUUCUAGAACUGAUCCCAUUUGUUUACGUUUAUCUCGUAGACUUAAUUUACGCCACAGUCAUCACAAUUUCCGUGUUUUUGCUUAUCGAAUUUUACUAGUCAUUAUUGAGAGCAGCAUAUUCAUGUACCCUUGGCGCAAGCAAAGCUUUUAGAAAUACAUAACAUGAGCAAUCUAAACCAAAUGUUGACCAUGCACUUAAGAGGAUUCAAAAUUUAUGGAAGGAUUAUUACGUGAUAUAACGAAUUGAAUCCAUCUUAAUUAUUAUUCGUGUGGAAAAUUAAGAUAAUAACGGUUUGUAUAAUUUAUGGAUCAUGCCGUAACUUUUCGAAAUUUAUUCAAUUUAUUAUUAUUAUUAUUAUUAUUAUUAUUAUAGCGUCGGUAAACGUUUUUCUCUCAUGUUCCAAAAUUUGGUCCACGGAGAAAAGCAGUGCGAAGCCAAUUUGAGCAAAAGUGGAUCGCAGAAUGUACGCUUCACUUUUUUAUUCAAGUGUUCCCACUUUUUUUUAAGGGUAAAAGCAUAGCAAAAGUACUCUUGACUUUUUUUCCAGUUUAAACAAUUGAGAAAAUGUCACAAAUAAUCUCUAGACUUCUAUUUAAUGUGCAAUCUCGUUCAUAAACUUUCGAUUGACUCAAUUUGGCUCCUGAACUAUCGAUGAAUGUCCGAUCUAGUCCUUAACUAUUCAAAAAUUGACCAAUUUCGUCAUUUCGUUAGUUAAAAUUAACGGAAUUGGGUAUUUUGAUCUUUUUCUUUUUUCUUUCUUCUUCUUCUCUCUCCCUCGCUUGACGCCAGCGAGGGCAGCCCUAGCUAGCGCAAGCGAGGGUGAUCCUCGCCAGACGUCGACUUCCCUCUGCCAUGGCUGGCGGAGAGAAGAGAGAAGAAGAAGAAAAAACAGUUAAUUUUUAACAGAAUGAUUAGAUCGGACGAUUAUUGAUAGUUUAAUGACCAAAUUGAGCCAAUCGAAAGUUCAUGGAUGGGAUUGCACAUUAAAUAAAAGUCUAUGGACCAUUUAUGAUAUUUUCCUUAAACAAUUUGUCGUGGAUCUCGAAUUCUCUUUAGGAUUUGAUUAUUUGACAUCGCUCCUUGAGUAAAGGAUCUAACAAGAAUAUGCUUCGUUUAUAACCACUGUAUUAUGGUUACUAUAGUCGGUAGCUUAUCUCUACAGAAAAGCCAGACGGAAAACUUUCCAGCUGAAAAACUUUUCUUCUAUAGCGAAUGCCUUAGUUAUUCUUUUUCCUUUUUCUCUAACCACUUCCUGAUCCCGCACGAUUUCUUUUGUACGGCAAUAAAUAUGUAUGCAAUCCCCUAUGCGGUCAAACUGGAUUUUACUCGCCCCGCGGUCAACCUUGAAUAUUUAUCUCCGAGUCUAAACAAACCACGGCCUUUGAGUAUCUUGUUGACCGAAUCUUGGAUCUUGUGAUUAUCCAAGAGGAAAACAAACUAUAAUAGAACAAAGUCCAAGCCUGCCUUUGAUGAAAGUCUGUCCAAUUGUUCUUAUGAUAUGGACCGGUUAACAUUUUUCGAUUGGAUCACAUUUCGUACGUAAAUUCAAAUUUGAGAUAUAUUUUAACAUGUUUUGAAGAAAAUGAUUAAUACGAAAAAUAUUAUGAUAUGGACCGGUUAACAUUUUUCGGUUGGAUCACAUUUCGUACGUAAAUUCAAAUUUGAGAUAUAUUUUAACAUGUUUUGAAGAAAAUGAUUAAUACGAAAAAUAUUUUUCUAAAAAUGAUGAUAUGCAUUGCUUACAUAAUUGAAUAAUUAAUUAUUCCAAAUCACAAGUAAUCAUUUUUCGAAAAAUACUUUUUUCGAAUUCUUAAUUUAUUUUUAGGGAAACAAGAGGAGCGUUAAUAUCUCCUGGGUAGCCGCAGCACGCUAUUGAUCAGCUCGUCCAAGUUCAAGAACGACGGCCCGGAAGGACACGCGGCCUCCCGGGCCAUCUCCUUCCACUCCAUCGCUUUCCUCUUCAUCUCCUUCCCUUUCUCCCCCUCCAUCAGCUCCCUCACCUGCCUCUCCACCUCGUCCCUCUUCACGUCGCUGUCGAUCUCCAUCCCGAUCCCCCACUCCUCGCGGCUGUACCGACAGUUCGUCGGUUGCUCCGCGAAGAACGGCCAGCACACCACCGGCACGCCCGCCACGAUGCUCUCGAUCGUGGAGUUCCAUCCGCUGUGGGUCAAGAACCCGCCGACCGCCUGGUGGCCCAGCACCCGCUCCUGGGGGCACCAGCUGGCCAGCAGGCUCCGCUCCCCUGUCGCGGCCGAGAACUCCGGUGGCAAGACCGCCGUGUCGCCGGCGACCAGGUCGGGCCUGAUGAUCCAUAGGAACGUCUGACCGCUGUUCGCGAGUCCCCAUGCGAACUCCACCAGCUGCGCUGGGGACAUCACCGUGAUGCUCCCGAAGUUCACGUACACGACCGAGCCGGGCGGUUUCGAGUCGAGCCACUUGAGACAGCCCGGCUCUUCCUUCCACAAGUUGGAUCCGAUCGAUCCGGUGCCGUCAUCAGGCAGUUGCGCCGUGAGGAGAUGGAGGGGGCCGAGGGUGUAGAUGGGGGGGGAACAUGGCCUUGAGAGCAUCGACGACCUCGUGCUCCAGGCGGUCGAACGUGUUGAGGACAAUGGCUGAAGCUCUCUUCGCCCUCUCGGUCUCGACCGACAGGAAGUCGACCAUGAAGUCAUCUGGGUCGGUAGUUCGGGAUGAAGCUCGGCAAGUCUCGCAGGCUGAUGCUCCUCAUCCCGGGUAUCCAGUCGAUGAUGGUGUCUAAGUACCCGUUUGUCAAGUAGCUUGCAUCUGCAAUCGACAGUUGAUCCAUUAAACAAUAUGACGCUAAAGAGAGGAAAAGAAUCGAUAGCUGUAAAUCUGCAAGUGAGAUAGACGAUUGUUCAUUAAUGCAUAUACCUCUGAGUGGAGAAAGACCCUUGUCGACAAGACUGCGAUACUGCACGUAGCCCAUGAAGCCGCACGCGCUCGUCGUCCAGAACAAGACCAGUGGCACGCCGGCUGCCUCGGCAGCGUCGAGCGUGAAGCUCAUCACGCCGUCCGACACCACGCAGCUCACCGGCGGGGAGCCCGACGUGGCGCUCUCCUCGUCGAGCGUCUGGAGGAGGUCCCGGAAGUAGGGCAGGCAGAGGUCCCUCGAGGACCGGCAGAGGGUGGGGAUGUCCUGGGUGACGUCGGCGUCAGGGGGGGGGAGGCCGUCUGGGAUGGUGCGGAACCGGAAGGACGGGAGGCCGUCGAGGGCGGAGGGGCCGCGGGAACGCAGGAGGCGCUUGUGGUUGUACUCGGUGUUGACGAAGGUGAUGUGGAAGCCCCUGUGGUGGAGAAGCUUGGCGAGGCUGAGCAUGGGCUUGAUGUGGCCCUGGGCUGGGAAGGGCAUGCACACUGCAUGCGGCUUUUGAGUCUGGGAAGGGCAUGCACACUGCAUGCGGCUUUUGAGUCAUCUCGUUCGAGCUCAUCUCUCUCUCUCUC
rnacentral:lncRNA from 1 species